AUGGCGUCACCGAAUCAUCCACCUGAUCACGGCGGCGACUCGGUCGAGACUCGGUCUUCUGAGCUCAGGAAGGAUUCGGUGACUAACCGGUGGGUCAUUUUCUCUCCCGCCCGGGCCAAGAGACCAACUGAUUUUAAGUCCAAAUCUCCAGAGAACCCGAAUCCGAAACCUUCCUCGUGUCCCUUUUGCAUCGGCCGUGAGCACGAGUGUGCUCCGGAGAUAUUUCGUAUGCCAGAUGACCCGAAUUGGAAAAUCCGGGUCAUCGAGAAUCUGUACCCGGCUCUAAGCAGGAAUCUCGAGAAUCAGUCGAAGCAACCCGUGACGAAUACAAGUCGAAGUAUAGUCGGGUUCGGAUUCCACGACGUGGUGAUCGAAUCACCUGUUCACUCGAUUGAGCUCUCCGAUAUCGAUCCGGUGGGUAUCGGCGAUGUCUUGCUCACCUACAGGAAGAGGAUCGAGCAGAUCACGCAACAUGAUUCGAUCAAUUACAUUCAGGUCUUCAAGAACCAAGGUGCAUCGGCUGGAGCAUCAAUGAGUCACUCCCACAGUCAGAUCAUGGCUCUUCCAGUUAUUCCUCCAACAGUUUCUUCACGACUUGAUGGUACUAAAGAUCAUUACGAAGAGACUGGAAAAUGUUGUCUUUGUGAAGCUAAAUCAAAACAUUUUGUGAUUGAUGAGUCGUCCCACUUUGUUUCUGUUGCUCCUUUCGCUGCUACGUUCCCCUUUGAGGUUUGGAUUAUUCCCAAGGAUCACUCUUCUCACUUCCAUCAUCUCGAUGACGUCAAGGCUAUUGACCUUGGAGGACUUCUGAAACUCAUGCUUCAGAAGAUAGCAAAGCAACUAAACGACCCUCCUUAUAAUUACAUGAUCCACACUUCUCCCCUCAAGGUCACAGAAACACAAUUACCAUAUACGCACUGGUUCUUACAGAUCGUACCUCAGCUUUCUGGAGUAGGUGGAUUCGAGAUUGGCUCAGGGUGUUACAUAAACCCUGUUUUCCCGGAGGAUGCAGCACAGGUUUUGCGUGAAGUUAGCCUUACUUGAACUCGGUUUUGUUCUCAUAAACUGAGGCUCCGAGGGAAGUCAUUGGUGUGGGAAUUUUGCUUCUCAAGAAAACACGGUUCAUCGUGUUUGUUUCCUCUGUUGAUUCAAAUAACAUUGAUCUUCUUCUCCAUCGUUCUCCCUCGCCGGCCGAGUCGCGAUAGUCACCGGUUCAUCUCGUGGGAUUGGCCGAGCCGUCGCUAUACACCUCGCCGAGCUCGGCGCGAAGAUAGUUGUCAACUACACCACCAGAUCCACUGACGCCGAUCAGGUCGCCGCGGAAAUCAACUCAUCCGCCGUCGCUGGUGGUGUUUCUGAACCGAUAGCCGUCGUGUUCCGCGCGGAUGUCUCGGAGCCGAGCCAGGUUGAGUCUCUCUUCGACACGGCGGAGAAAGCCUUCAAUUCGCCGGUUCACAUCCUGGUUAACUCGGCUGGGAUCGUCGAUCCCAACUACCC